CUAAGAAUAUUCCGCAAUGGACGGAAGUCUGACGGAGCGACGCCGCGUGGAUGACGAAGGCCGAAAGGUUGUAAAGUUCUUUUGCUGGGGAAGAAUAACCGCAGGAGGGAAUGCCUGUGGGAUGACAAGAACCGGCGAAUAAGCCCCGGCCAACUACGUGCCAGCAGCCGCGGUAACACGUAGGGGGCGAGCGUUGUUCGGAAUUACUGGGCGUAAAGGGCAUGUAGGCGGCUUGGAAAGCCUGGCGUGAAAGUCUGCAGCUUAACUGCAGGGGUGCGCUGGGAACUGCUGAGCUUGAGUGACGGAGAGGGAGCUGGAAUUCCUGGUGUAGGGGUGAAAUCUGUAGAUAUCAGGAAGAACACCGAUGGCGAAGGCAAGCUCCUGGCCGAUGACUGACGCUGAGGUGCGAAAGUGUGGGGAUCAAACAGGAUUAGAUACCCUGGUAGUCCACACAGUCAACGAUGUGCACUAGGUGCUGGGGCGGUAGCUUCGGUGCCGGAGCGAACGUGGUAAGUGCACCGCCUGGGGAGUAUGCUCGCAAGGGUGAAACUCAAUGAAUUGAC
rnacentral:rRNA from 1 species